UACGUAGGGGGCAAGCGUUGUCCGGAUUUAUUGGGCGUAAAGAGCGUGUAGGCGGCUUUACAGGUCCGUUGUGAAAACUCGAGGCUCAACCUCGAAGACGCCGGUGGAAACCGUAAAGCUAGAGUCCGGAAGAGGAGAGUGGAAAUUCCUGGUGUAGCGGGUGAAAAUGCGCAGAUAUCAGGAAGAACACCUACGGCGAAGGCAGCUCGCUGGGACGGUACUGACGCUGAGACGCGAAAGCGUGGGGAGCAAACAGG
rnacentral:rRNA from 1 species